GACGAACGCUGGCGGCGUGCUUAAUGAAUGCGAGUCGAGCGAGAACCGGACUGAGGAAACCUUCGGGUGGAAUCAGUCUGGGGAGAGCGGCAAACGGGUGAGUAACACGUGGGUAACCUGCCCCUCAGACGGGGAUAAUUCGCCGAAAGGCGGACUAAUACCCGAUGGUGAUGUGCCAACACAUGUUGAUACAUCUAAAGGCUCCGGUGCUGAGGGAGGGGUCCGCGGCCGAUUAGCUUGUUGGUAGGGUAACGGCCUACCAAGGCUUCGAUCGGUAGCCGGUCUGAGAGGAUGACCGGUCACACUGGGACUGAGACAUGGUCCAGACUCCUACGGGAGUUAGCAUCAGGGAAUCUUGCGCAAUGGGCGAAAGCCUGACGCAGCGACGCCGCGUGGGUGAUGAAGGCCUGCGGGUCGUAAAGCCCUGUCGGGAGGGAAGAAACAGCACCUUCGGGUGCUUUGACUGUACCUCCGGAGGAAGCCCCGGCUAAUUACGUGCCAGCAGCCGCGGUAAUACGUAAGGGGCCAGCGUUGUCCGGAAUUACUGGGCGUAAAGAGCACGUAGGCGGUUAGGAAAGCGAUAGGUGAAAUCCCCCGGCUCAACCGAGGAACUGCUUAUCGAACUGCCUGACUAGAGCACGGGAGAGGGCACUGGAAUUCCUGGUGUAGCGGUGGAAUGCGUAUAUAUCAGGAGGAACACCGGUGGCGAAGGCUGGUGCCUGGAACGUUGCUGACGCUAAGGUGCGAAAGCCAGGGGAACAAACGGGAUUAGAUACCCCGGUAGUCCUGGCCGUAAACGAUGGACACUAGGUGUUGGAGGUUCGACCCCUUCAGUGCUGUUAAGCUAACGCGUUAAGUGUCCCGCCUGGGGAGUACGGUCGCAAGGCUGAAACUCAAAGGAAUUGACGGGGGCCCGCACAAGCGGUGGAGCAUGUGGGUCAAUGGGAUGAUACGCCGAGAACCUUACCAGGGCUUGACAUGACCCUGAUCCCCUGCGAAAGCAGGUCUUCUGGGCAACCAGACAGGGCCACAGGUGGUGCAUGGUUGUCGACAGCUCGUGUCGUGAGAUGUUGGGUUAAGUCCCGCAACGAGCGCAACCCUCGCCGGAUGUUGCCAGCGGUUAGGCCGGGCACUCUUCCGGGACUGCCGGAGUAAUCCGGAGGAAGGGGGGGAUGACGUCAAAUCUGCAUGCCCCUUAUGUCCUGGGCUGCACACGUGCUACAAUGGCGUGUACAAAGGGUCGCGAAGCCGCGAGGCCCAGCUAAUCCCCAAAAACUCGUCCCAGUUCGGAUUGGAGUCCGCAACUCGACUCCAUGAAGUCGGAAUCGCUAGUAACCGUGGAUCAGCAAUGCCGCGGUGAAUACGUUCCCGGGCCUUGUACACACCGCCCGUCAAGUCACGGAAGCCGACAGCACCCCAAGUCCGCUACGGCGGCCCAAGGUGAGGUCAGUGACUGGG
rnacentral:rRNA from 1 species